rnacentral:rRNA from 1 species
AGAUUUAUCGCCGAAAGAUCGGCCCGCGUAAGAUUAGCUAGUUGGUGAGGUAAUGGCUCACCAAGGCUACGAUCUUUAGCUGGUCUGAGAGGAUGAUCAGCCACACUGGGACUGAGACACGGCCCAGACUCCUACGGGAGGCAGCAGUGGGGAAUAUUGGACAAUGGGCGCAAGCCUGAUCCAGCCAUGCCGCGUGAGUGAUGAAGGCCUUAGGGUUGUAAAGCUCUUUUAGCAGGGACGAUAAUGACGGUACCUGCAGAAAAAGCCCCGGCCAACUUCGUGCCAGCAGCCGCGGUAAUACGAAGGGGGCUAGCGUUGCUCGGAAUCACUGGGCGUAAAGCGCACGUAGGUGGGUCGUUAAGUCNGGGGUGAAAUCCCAGAGCUCAACUCUGGAACUGCCUUCGAUACUGGCGACCUUCGAGUUCGGGAGAAGUGAGUGGAACUGCGAGUGUAGAGGUGAAAUUCGUAGAUAUUCGCA